rnacentral:lncRNA from 1 species
AUCUGCUCACAUUACCUAGGAAAUUCCAAGGGGUUUAGGAGCCGGGUGACAGGAACAGAGAUGAACGCUAAACAUGUAUUUCUUAUGAGUCACAGUAUCACACAAAGCUUGGUGGAGAAAGGAUGGGUAUGGGGGGGGGGCAGUUAGGGACCCCCAUAGAAGAGGACUGGGAAGGAAUGAGGUCAGGAUUAGUGGAGCCAGAGAGAUCCUGUGUGACUGGCCAGGAGGCCUGGCCCCUAUCGGGAAACCAUAGAUAAAAGAGCUUCAGUGACAGGAGAGGCUCCAAAGUGACCACAGACUCCCCCACAAAGGGAACCUGGCUCCGCAGGCGGCUGGACCUGCAGGCACUGAUGCAACACACAACUGUGACAUGCCAGGCAGGCUGUCCCCUGCUCUCCCCCUCCCCCUGCCCCCCAGGAACAGCCGCCCCUCUCCUAGAAGGGGGAAGGGGAUGGAGGGUGAAGCCAGAGAACUAGACUCUUCCUCUGUGCCUGCAACUUCCUCUGCCUAACUGGAAGAGGGAGAUGCUUUCAACUGAAUGGAGCUUGGAGUUGUGAUAUCCCACUGGCAAGCUCCCCAAACCCCAUCUGGUUCAGGUGAAGGAAGAGGGAAGGGAAUAUCUGGAAAGACUUUCUGGAGAAGGUGGCAUCUUGGUUCCUAUAAAAUAAUAAAAAAUGUAUGUAUUAGUCUCUACCCCUGAUUUCUGGGACAGAACUCCUAAAACCUCUGUAAUUUCUUAAAUGCAUCUUUUGUUCUAACAUUUGAUCUUUGACCCUGGUUCCUAACACAGGGAUCCUAAAUCCCUUGGAAUUUCCUUGGUGAGACAGCAAUGUCUUUUGUUCUAUUGAGGUGACCCUUGGUGGGCUCCUGGAUGGGGGCUAGUCAGUAGAAAGACGAAACCAUGAUGAAGCAGCUUGGAAUUUUCAACUCCACCCACCCCUCCCCCCAGCCCACCAUUCUCCAGAGGGGAGAAAGGGUUUGGAAAUGGAGUUAAUAACUGAUUACAGCCAUGUAAUAAAGCCUACAUAAAAUCCCA